AUUGAACGCUGGCGGCAUGCCUUACACAUGCAAGUCGAACGGUAACAGGUCUUCGGAUGCUGACGAGUGGCGAACGGGUGAGUAAUACAUCGGAACGUGCCCGAUCGUGGGGGAUAACGCAGCGAAAGCUGUGCUAAUACCGCAUACGAUCUACGGAUGAAAGCGGGGGAUCGCAAGACCUCGCGCGGACGGAGCGGCCGAUGGCAGAUUAGGUAGUUGGUGGGAUAAAAGCUUACCAAGCCGACGAUCUGUAGCUGGUCUGAGAGGACGACCAGCCACACUGGGACUGAGACACGGCCCAGACUCCUACGGGAGGCAGCAGUGGGGAAUUUUGGACAAUGGGCGCAAGCCUGAUCCAGCCAUGCCGCGUGCAGGAUGAAGGCCUU
rnacentral:rRNA from 1 species